CAUGCAAGUCGGACGCCGCAGUCGCCUUCGGGCGGCAUGUGGAGUGGCGGACGGGUGAGUAACGCGUAGGAACCUACCCGGAAGUGGGGGACAACCGCUGGAAACGGCGGCUAAUACCGCAUACGCCCCAAGGGGGAAAGGCUUCGGCCGCUUUCGGAGGGUCCUGCGUUCGAUUAGCUAGUCGGUGAGGUGACGGCUCACCGAGGCGACGAUCGAUAGCUGGUCUGAGAGGAUGAUCAGCCACACUGGGACUGAGACACGGCCCAGACUCCUACGGGAGGCAGCAGUGGGGAAUAUUGGACAAUGGGCGAAAGCCUGAUCCAGCAAUGCCGCGUGUGUGACGAAGGCCUUAGGGUUGUAAAGCACUUUCGCCCGCGAGGAUGAUGACGGUAGCGGGAGAAGAAGCCCCGGCUAACUCCGUGCCAGCAGCCGCGGUAAUACGGAGGGGGCGAGCGUUGUUCGGAAUUACUGGGCGUAAAGGGCGUGUAGGCGGCCUUGUCAGUCAGGCGUGAAAUCCCCGGGCUCAACCUGGGACGUGCGCUUGAUACUGCAGGGCUUGAGAGCGAGAGAGGUAAGCGGAAUUCCCAGUGUAGAGGUGAAAUUCGUAGAUAUUGGGAAGAACACCAGUGGCGAAGGCGGCUUACUGGCUCGUUCUGACG
rnacentral:rRNA from 1 species